rnacentral:tRNA from 1 species
GCCGGAGUGGCGGAAUGGCAGACGCACGAGACUUAAAAUCUUGCGCCCACAAAGCGUGCGGGUUCGAGUCCCGCCUCCGGCACCA